GAUGAACGCUGGCGGCGUGCCUAAUACAUGCAAGUCGAGCGAACGGACGAGAAGCUUGCUUCUCUGAUGUUAGCGGCGGACGGGUGAGUAACACGUGGAUAACCUACCUAUAAGACUGGGAUAACUUCGGGAAACCGGAGCUAAUACCGGAUAAUAUUUUGAACCGCAUGGUUCAAAAGUGAAAGACGGUCUUGCUGUCACUUAUAGAUGGAUCCGCGCUGCAUUAGCUAGUUGGUAAGGUAACGGCUUACCAAGGCAACGAUGCAUAGCCGACCUGAGAGGGUGAUCGGCCACACUGGAACUGAGACACGGUCCAGACUCCUACGGGAGGCAGCAGUAGGGAAUCUUCCGCAAUGGGCGAAAGCCUGACGGAGCAACGCCGCGUGAGUGAUGAAGGUCUUCGGAUCGUAAAACUCUGUUAUUAGGGAAGAACAUAUGUGUAAGUAACUGUGCACAUCUUGACGGUACCUAAUCAGAAAGCCACGGCUAACUACGUGCCAGCAGCCGCGGUAAUACGUAGGUGGCAAGCGUUAUCCGGAAUUAUUGGGCGUAAAGCGCGCGUAGGCGGUUUUUUAAGUCUGAUGUGAAAGCCCACGGCUCAACCGUGGAGGGUCAUUGGAAACUGGAAAACUUGAGUGCAGAAGAGGAAAGUGGAAUUCCAUGUGUAGCGGUGAAAUGCGCAGAGAUAUGGAGGAACACCAGUGGCGAAGGCGACUUUCUGGUCUGUAACUGACGCUGAUGUGCGAAAGCGUGGGGAUCAAACAGGAUUAGAUACCCUGGUAGUCCACGCCGUAAACGAUGAGUGCUAAGUGUUAGGGGGUUUCCGCCCCUUAGUGCUGCAGCUACCGCAUUAAGCACUCCGCCUGGGGAGUACGACCGCAAGGUUGAAACUCAAAGGAAUUGACGGGGACCCGCACAAGCGGUGGAGCAUGUGGUUUAAUUCGAAGCAACGCGAAGAACCUUACCAAAUCUUGACAUCCUUUGACAACUCUAGAGAUAGAGCUUUCCCCUUCGGGGGACAAAGUGACAGGUGGUGCAUGGUUGUCGUCAGCUCGUGUCGUGAGAUGUUGGGUUAAGUCCCGCAACGAGCGCAACCCUUAAGCUUAGUUGCCAUCAUUAAGUUGGGCACUCUAAGUUGACUGCCGGUGACAAACCGGAGGAAGGUGGGGAUGACGUCAAAUCAUCAUGCCCCUUAUGAUUUGGGCUACACACGUGCUACAAUGGACAAUACAAAGGGCAGCGAAACCGCGAGGUCAAGCAAAUCCCAUAAAGUUGUUCUCAGUUCGGAUUGUAGUCUGCAACUCGACUACAUGAAGCUGGAAUCGCUAGUAAUCGUAGAUCAGCAUGCUACGGUGAAUACGUUCCCGGGUCU
rnacentral:rRNA from 1 species